rnacentral:ncRNA from 1 species
AGGUGCCAAGGGCAAACCACUCGUGAGGGUGGGACGCAAAGCCACGGGCCUCUCCCACGUGGAGAGGAAGCCGGGUCGCCACC